rfam:Bacteroidetes bacterium GWF2_41_31 gwf2_scaffold_290, whole genome shotgun sequence.
AAAAAGUGGAUGCCAGAUCCCACUUUAAAAAACGGGGCGAAACCGAAAAGCCACAUGAGUCGGAAACAA